rnacentral:tRNA from 1 species
CUUUUCAAUAGCUAAGUGGUAAAAGCGCCUGGCUCAUAACCAGGAGACGCGGGUCCGAAUCCCGCUGAAAUGG